GCAUUUAUGUAACUUUGCUCAAUUUCGUAUUAUAUAGUAAUUAAUGCUUUCAGUAUUGUUACUGUAUUUAGGUUUUGAACUAUAUCUAACCUUGAUUUUUUUUUUUGUUUUGAAAUCUCCAUAUAUAGGUUGUUGAAUUUUAUGCAAUUUCAUUGAAUUUCAUAUACAUUUGACUUUUGUCUUGGUUAUGUUUUUCUUUCUUUAAUUUGAUUUGCAGGAAGUUAUUGAAUUGUUAAGGAUGACAUUGACAACUUAGGGAUCCUUGUGCAUCCGCUUGUCCAUGGACUAAAGUUAAAGGUAUAUUUGUUUUUUUGGAUUUUUCAGAUACAUAAAUCUGAAGAAACUUCUAGUCAAAGUAUGGUAGACAGAGAAAACACGGUGAAAUGAAAAUUAUCGCUGUUGUUGAACAAAUUACAGAGAGGCAUGUGGAAAAACAAUAAGAUUUAUAGGUAUUAAAGUGAGAUUAGUUUUUCUUUACCUUUUUGUAUUAUUAGGAUUAAUUGUCAAGGUUAUUGAAGUUGUGAUGUUCAAUGUUAGAGUGAAAGAUACAUAAAUGCUUUAUACAUGAGACUACAAUAUGAUACCAGAUAGACUAGAAAUAUAGUGUAUUGGCCUCUUAUGUUCCAUUCGUUUUUCAUGCAUUGCAGAGUUGUCAUGAGUUUACUUGAAUAUAUCCAUACAUUUCAGUUUUUGCUUAUUGUGUAUCAAGAGAGAUGUGGUUAUACUUUGUGAUUCUACUCUAAUAUAUUUUUAAUUCCGAUUGGAAAGAAGGAAAAGUAGCUAGCAUUAUUGUGGCUACUAAAUAUUUGACAUGGUGGCAUCCGAGGUAGCUGUUAAAUAAUUGACUUUGUGGUUGCAAUUCUCAUGUGUUAGUAUCAGUUGGAGGGUUAAUUUGUUAAAAUUGAAUUGAAUUUGUUUUCUUCAUGCAACUAAUAGUUUCACACAAUAUGGUUUAAUGCUAAUUUUGUUGAGCAGCUCUUAGACAAUGAAAAUUUAGUACUUGGAAAUCUGGAAGUGAUAGUUUGGAAAGGACAGCUAAAAGCAGCUAGAGCAUCCGCUACCGCGACGCAAAAAAUAGUUUCGUGCUCCCGAUUUUGUCCGAGCAGCAAAGACGAGUGAAGUGGUGGGAGUGGUUAAGUUCAUGGUCACUGUUAGGGGGUCGGAGUUGAUGUGGAUCUCUUCUUUUCAUCUCUUUACAAAUCGCAAUCUCUCCAUUCUCAGUGAUUGGAAAAUUACUAACAAUUUAUUAUACUGAAGUAUAACUUUAUAAAGCAUAACUUGCUAUCCUUUCAUAUGGUGAUUUAAUGUUAGAUUUGAAUUCAUAUUACUAUUAGUUAAGCUUUUAAUCACCUCUUUAAUUUAUGUUUGAAUUUCCCAUUGACUCCCUAUGCAAUUCAAUUUUUCAAUCUCAUGUGUUUAUUACCAGUUCCUAUAAUUGUUGAACUAUCAUAUGUUUUUCUCUUAGAUUCUCCAUCUAGAAGAGAAAUUGUUGAAAUCUCAGCCUCUGCAAGCCGCCACACUGGAUGAUGAAAGUGAGGAUGUGACCAAAGAGCAAUAAGGUUACUGAACAAGUGAUGGCUGAAAAGAUUGGAUGAAUAGUAACACAUGUGGUGCUUCCACAUGUAGUCAUGCAUUCACGACAUCUUUAUGCGGUAUUUCAUUUUGAAUAUUUACUGUAUAAUUCUAGUGCCAUUCAUUUUCAUAUUGACCAUGUCCUUUGUCAGAAGCUUCAACAAAUGAUUGAUGAAUGAUUAAUUGGCCGGCGUUCUCAGGAAAUUUUACUGGUUUAGAGCUAGAAGAUGGCGGAGGACGUGGAACAACAGGUUUUUAAUUUCAUAAUUUUUCCUGUCCUAUUUUAAAUGUCUUCCUCUCGGUUUCUUUAUGUGCCUUGUUAUUAAACUCUAUUACAUUGGUAAACUGUAUCUGCAAUUUCUUUACCUCACAAAGCUCACUAUAGCAUGCAAUAUGUGUUGUCAAAUAUCGUCCAUGGUGGUGGUGGAUUUUUUUGACAAUCACCUGUGGUCAAUUUGUGAAAGAUGGCGGUGCCAUGAUGUUUUAUGACGGGAUAUGGCAGGUGCCACAUGAAGAAUUUUAUGCUUUCUGCCAUGGUUGACACUACAUGCACACUUCCUAAGAAGAGAUCCACAAAAUGACAAGGUCUUCAAUUAUUAGUAAUUUAAAUUAAAACAAAAUUUUCUGUUUAUAUGUGUAACUUAGAUGUAAUUACAGUAAUUUGCAAUUUAUAAAUUUGUGUUUUUU